GAUGAACGCUGGUGGCGUGCCUAAUACAUGCAAGUCGAGCGAACAGACGAGGAGCUUGCUCCUCUGACGUUAGCGGCGGACGGGUGAGUAACACGUGGAUAACCUACCUAUAAGACUGGGAUAACUUCGGGAAACCGGAGCUAAUACCGGAUAAUAUGUUGAAUCGCAUGGUUCAACAGUGAAAGACGGUCUUGCUGUCACUUAUAGAUGGAUCCGCGCCGCAUUAGCUAGUUGGUAAGGUAACGGCUUACCAAGGCAACGAUGCGUAGCCGACCUGAGAGGGUGAUCGGCCACACUGGAACUGAGACACGGUCCAGACUCCUACGGGAGGCAGCAGUAGGGAAUCUUCCGCAAUGGGCGAAAGCCUGACGGAGCAACGCCGCGUGAGUGAAGAAGGUCUUCGGAUCGUAAAACUCUGUUAUUAGGGAAGAACAAAUGUGUAAGUAACUAUGCACGUCUUGACGGUACCUAAUCAGAAAGCCACGGCUAACUACGUG
rnacentral:rRNA from 1 species